UGUCUAAGUAUAAGCAAUUAUACCGUGAAACUGCGAAUGGCUCAUUAAAUCAGUUAUCGUUUAUUUGAUAGUACCUUACUACUUGGAUAACCGUGGUAAUUCUAGAGCUAAUACAUGCUUAAAACCCCAACUUCGGAAGGGGUGUAUUUAUUAGAUAAAAAACCAAUGCCCUUCGGGGCUCUUUGGUGAUUCAUAAUAACUUAACGGAUCGCAUGGCCUUGCGCCGGCGACGGUUCAUUCAAAUUUCUGCCCUAUCAACUUUCGAUGGUAAGGUAUUGGCUUACCAUGGUUUCAACGGGUAACGGGGAAUUAGGGUUCGAUUCCGGAGAGGGAGCCUGAGAAACGGCUACCACAUCCAAGGAAGGCAGCAGGCGCGCAAAUUACCCAAUCCCGACACGGGGAGGUAGUGACAAUAAAUACUGAUACAGGGCUCUUUUGGGUCUUGUAAUCGGAAUGAGUACAAUUUAAACCCCUUAACGAGGAACAAUUGGAGGGCAAGUCUGGU
rnacentral:rRNA from 1 species